AAUUGUUUAAAAUAGCAUGAAAGAGGGUUCAAGAAUAACCCAUGCCAUCAGACAAUCCCCAGAAACGCCCAACCUAUUGAGCAGCCCCUUCCUUGGCAGAACAAAAGCAACAAGCCUGCCACCUACCCAAUAACAUUCAAUUUUAAUUUCUUGUGUUUUGCUUCCCUUGCCUCAAUAGUUUUUUCCAAAAGUUUUCACAAACCAAUCAUGUUUUCUUUUGGUGACUUCAUUACCAGCAGCCACUCCAACUAUCAAGCCACCUGCAUAACCUAUGAAUAUUAUCAUCCAGUAAGUUUUAAAGAAAGAUCCUAAGUCUUCAUCUUCUGUGAACGUGGAGGAAGUUGAUGGAAUAGUUUCAAGAUCUGCACAUUUCUUCUCCAAAAGAGCUCCACAUAAUCUUGAGUUCCCUUUAUAUGAAUUGCUAUCAAAUGUAUCAAAUUGUUUUCCUUGUGGUACAGGACCUGAAAGAUGGUUCCAAGACACAUUGAAAGAUGAGAGGUAAGUGAGUUGAGAUAAUUCCAUAGGUACCUGUCCUGAGAGCCGAUUGCUAGAAAGAUCCAAGCAUUCCAAUUCCUUCAUGUUUGCCAAAGAUGAUGGUAUAUGACCAGUAAGCAUAUUGUUGGAAAGGUUAAGCAAAUGAACUGCUUUAAGAUUUCCAAUGACAUUUGGAAUCGCCCCUUCAAAUCUAUUACAUGAGAAAUCAAUAGCGGCCAAAGUGCUUGGAAUUUUCAAAUAUUCUAAUUCCAAGCCUUUGUUAUUUAUGGUUAUUGAGUAAUCAUAAUUGUCAUAUGAAACACAAGGAAAUGUGUUAGAUGUACUCAAUUCACCUAUAUAUUUCAUGUAGCUUGUGUUUACAAUCUUCAUAGCAUCCCACAUCUCAAAGU
rnacentral:misc_RNA from 1 species